AAAGUCGUAACAAGGUUUCCGUAGGUGAACCUGCGGAAGGAUCAUUCUUGAUAAUUUUAGCUUAUGCUAUCAUUAAAUAUGUGCACUGUUACCGCUAGUUGGCGGCCGAAAGGUCGUCAGUUGGCCCCAUUUCUUAUAUUUACUAUUAAUUUUUUGUACCAGUAAUCAUAAAAUCUUAUGACAACUUUUAGCAAUGGAUCUCUAGGCUCUC
rnacentral:misc_RNA from 1 species